rnacentral:rRNA from 1 species
AAAUUGAAGAGUUUGAUCAUGGCUCAGAUUGAACGCUGGCGGCAGGCCUAACACAUGCAAGUCGAACGGUAACAGGAAGCAGCUUGCUGCUUCGCUGACGAGUGGCGGACGGGUGAGUAAUGUCUGGGAAACUGCCUGAUGGAGGGGGAUAACUACUGGAAACGGUGGCUAAUACCGCAUAACGUCGCAAGACCAAAGAGGGGGACCUUCGGGCCUCUUGCCAUCAGAUGUGCCCAGAUGGGAUUAGCUUGUUGGUGAGGUAACGGCUCACCAAGGCGACGAUCCCUAGCUGGUCUGAGAGGAUGACCAGCCACACUGGAACUGAGACACGGUCCAGACUCCUACGGGAGGCAGCAGUGGGGAAUAUUGCACAAUGGGCGCAAGCCUGAUGCAGCCAUGCCGCGUGUAUGAAGAAGGCCUUCGGGUUGUAAAGUACUUUCAGCGGGGAGGAAGGUGUUGUGGUUAAUAACCACAGCAAUUGACGUUACCCGCAGAAGAAGCACCGGCUAACUCCGUGCCAGCAGCCGCGGUAAUACGGAGGGUGCAAGCGUUAAUCGGAAUUACUGGGCGUAAAGCGCACGCAGGCGGUCUGUCAAGUCGGAUGUGAAAUCCCCGGGCUCAACCUGGGAACUGCAUUCGAAACUGGCAGGCUUGAGUCUUGUAGAGGGGGGUAGAAUUCCAGGUGUAGCGGUGAAAUGCGUAGAGAUCUGGAGGAAUACCGGUGGCGAAGGCGGCC